AGAAUCAACGCUGGCGGCGUGCCUAACACAUGCAAGUCGAACGAGAAAGUGGAGCAAUCCAUGAGUAAAGUGGCGCACGGGUGAGUAACACGUGACUAACCUACCCUGGAGUGGGGGAUAACUGAGGGAAACCUUAGCUAAUACCGCAUAAUACCUACGGGUCAAAGGAGCAAUUCGCUUUAGGAGGGGUCGCGGCAGAUUAGCUAGUUGGCGGGGUAAUGGCCCACCAAGGCAGUGAUCUGUA
rnacentral:rRNA from 1 species